rnacentral:rRNA from 1 species
UACGUAGGGUGCGAGCGUUGUCCGGAAUUAUUGGGCGUAAAGAGCUCGUAGGCGGUGUGUCGCGUCGGCCGUGAAAACCUGCAGCUUAACUGUGGGCUUGCGGUCGAUACGGGCAUCACUGGAGUUCGGCAGGGGAGACUGGAAUUCCUGGGUGAUAGCGGUGAAAUGCGCAGAUAUCAGGAGGAACGCCGGUGGCCGAAGGCGGGUCUCUGG